UACGGGGGGGGCAAGCGUUGUUCGGAAUUACUGGGCGUAAAGGGCUCGUAGGUGGUCAACUAAGUCGGACGUGAAAUCCCUCGGCUUAACCGGGGAACUGCGUCCGAUACUGGAUGACUUGAGUUCGGGAGAGGGAUGCGGAAUUCCAGGUGUAGCGGUGAAAUGCGUAGAUAUCUGGAGGAACACCGGUGGCGAAGGCGGCAUCCUGGACCGACACUGACGCUGAGGAGCGAAAGCGUGGGGAGCAAACAGG
rnacentral:rRNA from 1 species